CCAGGAGGAAGGUCUGUACACGUCCCAGCCUGAGAAGAGGCACCAGAAGGAGAGGAUGCCUUGGGAUGGGGUGUUUUGGAGGCCUGCCCUGAUCUGGCAGGCCUUCUGGAGGAGGAUCCAGUCCUUCCUGUGGAUGCCAGGCCCGAAGUGGCAGUUUUAAAACAAGAUCCCCAAGUUCUGACAUUCCUUCCAUUUGGAGGGCAAACAUCUAGAUGGAAGACAGACUUCUCCAAGCAUCUCCCACCUGUGUGUGUGCAGAAAAAGGCAUGGCCACAGGAGGAAGAAGAGAGAGGAUAAACAACCCCAAAUUUGAGUUCUUGGUCUGUUUUUUUUUUCUGGGAUUUUGAUAAAUUUGCACCUGGCUGCAUUUUUGUAAAGCUAAUACAAAGAAAAGUUUCGUCGUCGUUGCUUUGUAUGUUUUUUGCUGAAAGAAAAAAAAAAUCCAUA